CGGCCUGAGGUCGGACGAGGCUACCCGCUGAAUUUAAGCAUAUUACUAAGCGGAGGAAAAGAAACUAACGAGGAUUCCCUCAGUAACGGCGAGUGAAGCGGGACGAGCCCAGCGCCGAAUCCGGCCGCUUAUGGAGCGGACGGAAUUGUGGCGUAUGGAAUUCGCUUCGAGCGCGGACCGGCUGCCCACGUCCUUCUGAUCGAGGCUUCAUCC
rnacentral:ncRNA from 1 species